rnacentral:rRNA from 1 species
UACGGAGGGGGCUAGCGUUGUUCGGAUUUACUGGGCGUAAAGGGCGCGUAGGCGGCCAGCACAAGUCAGUUGUGAAAUCUCCGAGCUUAACUCGGAAAGGUCAACUGAUACUGUGCGGCUAGAGUGCAGAAGGGGCAACUGGAAUUCUUGGUGUAGCGGUGAAAUGCGUAGAUAUCAAGAGGAACACCUGCGGCGAAGGCGGGUUGCUGGGCUGACACUGACGCUGAGGCGCGAAAGCUAGGGGAGCGAACGGG